rnacentral:rRNA from 1 species
UUAAAUUGAAGAGUUUGAUCAUGGCUCAGAUUGAACGCUGGCGGCAGGCCUAACACAUGCAAGUCGAACGGUAACAGGAAGCAGCUUGCUGCUUUGCUGACGAGUGGCGGACGGGUGAGUAAUGUCUGGGAAACUGCCUGAUGGAGGGGGAUAACUACUGGAAACGGUGGCUAAUACCGCAUAACGUCGCAAGACCAAAGAGGGGGACCUUCGGGCCUCUUGCCAUCAGAUGUGCCCAGAUGGGAUUAGCUUGUUGGUGAGGUAACGGCUCACCAAGGCGACGAUCCCUAGCUGGUCUGAGAGGAUGACCAGCCACACUGGAACUGAGACACGGUCCAGACUCCUACGGGAGGCAGCAGUGGGGAAUAUUGCACAAUGGGCGCAAGCCUGAUGCAGCCAUGCCGCGUGUAUGAAGAAGGCCUUCGGGUUGUAAAGUACUUUCAGCGGGGAGGAAGGUGUUGUGGUUAAUAACCGCAGCAAUUGACGUUACCCGCAGAAGAAGCACCGGCUAACUCCGUGCCAGCAGCCGCGGUAAUACGGAGGGUGCAAGCGUUAAUCGGAAUUACUGGGCGUAAAGCGCACGCAGGCGGUCUGUCAAGUCGGAUGUGAAAUCCCCGGGCUCAACCUGGGAACUGCAUUCGAAACUGGCAGGCUUGAGUCUUGUAGAGGGGGGUAGAAUUCCAGGUGUAGCGGUGAAAUGCGUAGAGAUCUGGAGGAAUACCGGUGGCGAAGGCGGCCCCCUGGACAAAGACUGACGCUCAGGUGCGAAAGCGUGGGGAGCAAACAGGAUUAGAUACCCUGGUAGUCCACGCCGUAAACGAUGUCUACUUGGAGGUUGUGCCCUUGAGGCGUGGCUUCCGGAGCUAACGCGUUAAGUAGACCGCCUGGGGAGUACGGCCGCAAGGUUAAAACUCAAAUGAAUUGACGGGGGCCCGCACAAGCGGUGGAGCAUGUGGUUUAAUUCGAUGCAACGCGAAGAACCUUACCUGGUCUUGACAUCCACAGAACUUUCCAGAGAUGGACUGGUGCCUUCGGGAACUGUGAGACAGGUGCUGCAUGGCUGUCGUCAGCUCGUGUUGUGAAAUGUUGGGUUAAGUCCCGCAACGAGCGCAACCCUUAUCCUUUGUUGCCAGCGAUUAGGUCGGGAACUCAAAGGAGACUGCCAGUGAUAAACUGGAGGAAGGUGGGGAUGACGUCAAGUCAUCAUGGCCCUUACGACCAGGGCUACACACGUGCUACAAUGGCGCAUACAAAGAGAAGCGACCUCGCGAGAGCAAGCGGACCUCAUAAAGUGCGUCGUAGUCCGGAUUGGAGUCUGCAACUCGACUCCAUGAAGUCGGAAUCGCUAGUAAUCGUGGAUCAGAAUGCCACGGUGAAUACGUUCCCGGGCCUUGUACACACCGCCCGUCACACCAUGGGAGUGGGUUGCAAAAGAAGUAGGUAGCUUAACCUUCGGGAGGGCGCUUACCACUUUGUGAUUCAUGACUGGGGUGAAGUCGUAACAAGGUAACCGUAGGGGAACCUGCGGUUGGAUCACCUCCUUACCU